rnacentral:rRNA from 1 species
AUUGAACGCUGGCGGCAUGCCUUACACAUGCAAGUCGAACGGUAACAGGUCUUCGGAUGCUGACGAGUGGCGAACGGGUGAGUAAUACAUCGGAACGUGCCUAGUAGUGGGGGAUAACUACUCGAAAGAGUGGCUAAUACCGCAUGAGAUCUACGGAUGAAAGCAGGGGAUCGCAAGACCUUGUGCUACUAGAGCGGCCGAUGGCAGAUUAGGUAGUUGGUGGGAUAAAAGCUUACCAAGCCGACGAUCUGUAGCUGUCUGAGAGGGCGAUCAGCCACACUGGGACUGAGACACGGCCCAGAUUCCUACGGGAGGCAGCAGUGGGGAAUUUUGGACAAUGGGCGCAAGCCUGAUCCAGCAAUGCCGCGUGCAGGAUGAAGGCCUUCGGGUUGUAAACUGCUUUUGUACGGAACGAAAAGCCCCGGGUUAAUACCCUGGGGUCAUGACGGUACCGUAAGAAUAAGCACCGGCUAACUACGUGCCAGCCGCCGCGGUAA